rnacentral:rRNA from 1 species
CGGACGGGUGAGUAACACGUGGAUAACCUACCUAUAAGAAUGGGAUAACUUCGGGAAACCGGAGCUAAUACCGGAUAAUAUAUUGAACCGCAUGGUUCAAUAGUGAAAGACGGUUUUGCUGUCACUUAUAGAUGGAUCCGCGCCGCAUUAGCUAGUUGGUAAGGUAACGGCUUACCAAGGCAACGAUGCGUAGCCGACCUGAGAGGGUGAUCGGCCACACUGGAACUGAGACACGGUCCAGACUCCUACGGGAGGCAGCAGGC